ensembl:lncRNA
GCAGUAUUGUCCUCUAGUGUCCUCAGGCCCUUUUCCUAGAACAGCAGUAUUGUCCUCUAGUGUCCUCAGGUCCUUUUACUAGAACAGCAGUAUUGUCCUCUAGUGUCCUCAGGUCCUUUUCCUAGAACAGCAGUAGUGUCCUGUGGUGUCCUCAGGCCCUUUUCCUAUUACAGCAGUAGUGUCCUGUGGUGUCCUCAGGCCCUUUUCCUAGAACAGCAGUAGUGUCCUCUAGUGUCCUCAGGUCCUUUUCCUUGACAGCAGUGAUGUCCUCAGGUCCUUUUCCUAGAACAGCAGUAGUGUCCUCAGGUCCUUUUCCUAGAACAGCAGUAGUGUCCUCUAGUGUCCUCAGGUCCUUUUCCUUGGCAGCAGUAGCUAUUGUCCAUAACAUAG